CUCAGACUAGUAAAUACCACCUCUGUACAAUAAAUAAAAUAUUGCAUUUUCUAUCGGCCUGUCUAGGAGUCAUCUUGGAAUGUUGUUGUCAGAGCUAGAAAGAGAGUCCUGUGUUAAGCAGUUAAGGCUUCCAGUGCUUUGGGUUUCAACAGCUUCUUGGCAGCAAUGAUGGUGUUCUUCAUCAGCAUGGCAACUGUCAUGGGCCCAACUCCCCCAGGGACCGGAGUGAUGUAACUGGCUUUCUUCUUCACCCCUUCAAAAUC
rnacentral:lncRNA from 1 species